rnacentral:rRNA from 1 species
UUUAAGUUGUUGCAGUUAAAAAUCUCGAAGUUGGACUUUGGGAUUGGCCGGCCGGUCCGCCUAUGGUGUGCAUUGGUCAUCUCAUUCCUUCUGUAGGCGAUGCACUCCUGCCCUGAACUGGCUGGGUCAUGCCUCUGGCGCUGUUACUUUGAAGAAAUUAGAGUGCUUAAAGCAAGCCUACGCUCUGUAUACAUUAGCAUGAGAUAAUAUUAUAGGAUUUCUGUCCUAUUACGUUAGCCUUCGGGAUCAGAGUAAUGAUUAACAGGGACAGUCGGGGGCAUUCAUAUUUCAUAGUCAGAGGUAAAGUUAUUGGAUAUAUGAAAUACGAACAACGACGAAAGCACUUUCCAAGGAUGUUUUCAUUAAUCAAGAGUAAAAGUUGGGGGCUCGAAGGAGGUCAGAUACCGUCCUCAUCUCAAUCAUAAAAGAUGCCGACCAGGGAUCGGUGGAUGUUGCAUUUUGGACUCCGCCGACACCUGAUGAGAAAUCAAAAUUUUUGGGUUUCGGGGGGAGUAUAGUCGCAAGGCUGAAACUUAAAGGAAUUAACGGAAGGGCACCACCAGGAGUGGAGCCUGCGGCUUAAUUGGACUCAACACGAGGAAACUUACUAGGUCCAGACAUAUUAAAGAUUGACAGACUGAGAAAUCUUUCUAGAUUCUAUGGGUGGUGGUGCAUGGCCGUUCUUAGUGUGUGGAGCGAUUUGUCUGGUUAAUUCCGUUAACCAAUGAGACCUCAGCCUGUUAACUUGCUAUACGGAGGUAUCCCUUCGCAGCCAGCUUCAUAGUGGGACUAUAGCCUUUUAGGCCGCGGAAGUUUGAGGCAAUAACAGGUCUGUGAUGCCCUUAGAUGUUUUGGGCCGAACGCGCGCUACACUAAUGUAUUCAUUGAGUUUAUAGCCUUGGCUGACAUGCCUGGGUAAUCUUUGAAAUUUUGUCAUGAUGGGGAUAGAUCAUUUCCAUUGUUGGUCUUCAAAGAGGAAUUCUUAGUAAGUGCGAGUCAUCAUCUCGCGUUGACUACAUCUCUCCCCUUUGUACACACCUCCCGUCGCUCCUACCAAUUACCUACCGAUUGAAUGAUCCGGUGAAAUGUUCGGAUCGCGGCGACGUGGGCGGUUCGCUGCCCGCGACGUCGCGAGAAGUCCAUUGAACCUUAUCAUUUAGAGGAAGGAGAAUUCAUAACAAGGUUUCCAUAGGUGAACCUACAGAAG